UGGUUCCGGCAUCGAUGAAGAACGCAGCGAAAUGCGAUAAGUAAUGUGAAUUGCAGAAUUCAGUGAAUCAUCGAAUCUUUGAACGCACAUUGCGCCUAUUAGCAGUAGUGGGCAUGCCUGUUCGAGCGUCAUUUUCCUACCCUUGAGCCCGUGUUGCUCAGUAUUGGGUGCCUACGGUACAGUAGCUCCUCAAAGUCAGUGGCGGAGACGGUUCGCACUCCGGGCGCAGUAGGUCUUAUCUCGCCUGUUAGUCGGACCGGUCCCUUGCCGUAAGAACCCCAUAAUCUCCUUAGAAUUGACCUCGGAUCAGGUAGGAAUACCCGCUGA
rnacentral:misc_RNA from 1 species